AAUGAACGUUGGCGGCGUGGAUUAGGCAUGCAAGUCGCGCGAUUUCCUUCGGGGAAGAGCGGCGGAAGGGAGAGUAACGCGUAGAUACCUACCCUCGGGACUAGAAUAGCGACGGGAAACUGUCGGUAAUGCCAGAUAACGUCCCUGGACCAAAGGUGUGAAUACGCCUGAGGAGGGGUCUGCGUCCUAUUAGCUAGUUGGCGGGGUAACGGCCCACCAAGGCGAAGAUGGGUACCGGGCGUGAGAGCGUGACCCGGCUCACUGGGACUGAGACACUGCCCAGACACCUACGGGUGGCUGCAGUCGAGAAUCUUCGGCAAUGAGCGCAAGCUUGACCGAGCGACGCCGCGUGCGGGAUGAAGGCUUUCGGGUUGUAAACCGCUGUCAGUGGGGAGGAAAUUCUUGGGGGUACUCCCCCUUGAUUGACCGAUCCGCAGAGGAAGGACGGGCUAAGUUCGUGCCAGCCGCCGCCGUAACAC
rnacentral:rRNA from 1 species